UGAGCAAUCUGCCCUUCUCAUCGGAAUAAGCGUUGGAAACGACGUCUAAUGCCGAAUACGACCUCCUUUCGCAUGAUCGGAGGUGGAAAGCUCCGGCGGAGAAGGAUGAGCUCGCGGCCUAUCAGCUAGUUGGUGUGGGUAAUGGCCCACCAAGGCGACGACGGGUAGCCGGCCUGAGAGGGUGACCGGCCACACUGGGACUGAGAUACCGGCCCAGACUCCGUACGGGAGCAG
rnacentral:rRNA from 1 species